GGGCGUGUGGCUCAGUUGGUAGAGCGUUCGCUUAGCAUCUUCACUCAUCAGGAAAUGCGAAAGGUCCUGGGUUCGAUUCCCAGCUCGUCCA